CCUACGGGUGGCAGCAGUGAGGAAUAUUGGUCAAUGGGCGAGAGCCUGAACCAGCCAAGUCGCGUGAAGGAUGACGGCCCUACGGGUUGUAAACCUCUUUUGCCAGGGAGCAAUCCUGUCCACGCGUGGGCUUAGCGAGAGUACCUGAAGAAAAAGCAUCGGCUAACUCCGUGCCAGCAGCCGCGGUAAUACGGAGGAUGCGAGCGUUAUCCGGAUUGAUUGGGUUUAAAGGGUGCGGAGGCGGACUGUUAAGCCGGCGGUAAAAAUUCGGGGCUCAACCCUGUCGAGCCGUGGAAACUGGUAGUCUUGAGUGGGCGAGAAGUAUGCGGAAUGCGUGGUGUAGCGGUGAAAUGCAUAGAUAUCACGCAGAACGCCGAUUGCGAAGGCAGCAUACCGGCGCCCAACUGACGCUGAAGCACGAAAGCGUGGGGAUCGAACAGGAUUAGAUACCCGUGUAGUC
rnacentral:rRNA from 1 species